rnacentral:rRNA from 1 species
AACGUCGUGAGACAGUUCGGUCCCUAUCCAUCGUGGGCGUAGGAGUCAUGAGAGGAGCUGUUCCUAGUACGAGAGGACCGGAAUGGACGCAUCACUGGUGCAACUGUUGUCGUGCCAACGGCAUAGCAGGGAAGCGAAAUGCGGACGGGAUAAACGCUGAAGGCAUCUAAGCGUGAAGCCCACCUCGAGAAUAAGACUCCCAUUCGCAAGAAGUAAGACCCCUGGAGGACUACCAGGUAGAUAGGUCAUCGGUGGAAGUUCGGUAACGGAUGUAGCUUGAUGAUACUAAUCGGUCGAGGGCUUGAUUGC